rnacentral:rRNA from 1 species
UAUAAAAUUAUUGGUUUAUAUGAAAAACUUUUUAAAAGCAGAGUAUGGGAACAUCAGAAAUGCUAAGGUUUUGAUUUGCAAAAGUCUGUAGAGAUUAACUAAAAAUAAAAAAGCAUUAGUUGUAUAAGUACCUUUUGUAUAAUGGUCUUUUAAGAGAAUUUGCCUUAUAGGCUUAUCCCGAACUAAGUAGAUUUUUUAAAAAACAUUUGGCAAGGUUUUCGAUGUGUGAAAUCUUUAGAUUUUUUAAAGGAUGUGAUAUGCAAUACCGAGACUUAGGAUAGCUGGUUGAGUGAUAAAUGCUUUUAAGUGCAGCUUUAAAAAACUUAUGAUCUGGUGAGUGUAAUUCUAAAGAUUAUUUUUAAGAGUGAAAAGUUUGGCUAAAGGUCAAGUUUAAUGGCUUUCUUAAGUAUUGGUCUGAGUAAAGAAAAGUUGGAUUUAUAAUGUCUGUUUUGAUAAGAGUAUUUAACAAUUUAUCUUUAACUAAAGAAAUAAUUAAUAACUGUUUAAGAGGUCUAAUCAUCAUUCAAUUACUUAAAAUAAACUUAAGUAAAAUUUUAUGAAUAGAAUUAGUAGUAACUGUUCAGCUU